rnacentral:rRNA from 1 species
AUUGAACGCUGGCGGCAGGCUUAACACAUGCAAGUCGAGCGAGUGGCGGACGGGUGAGUAAUGUCUGGGAAACUGCCUGGUGGCGGGGGAUAACUACUGGAAACGGUAGCUAAUACCGCAUACCAUCAGAGCUGCCCAGAUGGGAUUAGCUAGUAGGUGGGGUAAUGGCUCACCUAGGCGACGAUCCCUAGCUGGUCUGAGAGGAUGACCAGCCACACGGGAACUGAGACACGGUCCAGACUCCUACGGGAGGCAGCAGUGGGGAAUAUUGCACAAUGGGCGCAAGCCUGAUGCAGCCAUGCCGCGUGUAUGAAGAAGGCCUUCGGGUUGUAAAGCACUUUCAGCGGGGAGGCGUUACUCGCAGAAGAAGCACCGGCUAACUCCGUGCCAGCAGCCGCGGUAAUUC